AGCGAACGCUGGCGGCAGGCUUAACACAUGCAAGUCGAGCGGACCUUCCGGGGUCUGCGGCGGACGGGUGAGUACGGCGUGGGAACGUGCCCUCCGGUUCGGAAUAACUCUGGGAAACUAGGGUUAAUAACGGAUACGCUCUUAUGGGGAAAGGUGUCCUGCCGCAAGAUCGGCCCGCGUCAGAUUCGCUAGUUGGUGGGGUAAUGGCUAACUAAUGGGGGGAUUAGUAGCUGGUUUGAGAGGAGGACCAGCCACGCUGGGGCUGAGACACGGCCCAGACUCCUACGGGAGGGAGGAGAGGGGAAUAUUGAGCAAUGGGCGCAGGCCUGAUCCAGCCAUGCCGCGGAAGUGAUGAAGUCCUUAGGGAUGUAAAGCUCUUUUAUCCGGGACGAUAAUGACGGUACCGGAGGAAUAAGCCCCGGCUAACUACGUG
rnacentral:rRNA from 1 species